rfam:Camelus ferus unplaced genomic scaffold scaffold852, whole genome shotgun sequence.
GAGCAUAUAGCUCAGUGGUAGAGUGCAUGCUUAGCACGCAUGAGGUCCUGGGUUUAAUCCCCAGCACCUCCA